rnacentral:lncRNA from 1 species
AUGGGUCACAUGCACGCUUCUGGGAAGGGUCUGUCUCAGUCAGCUUUGCUCUAUCGCUGCAGCAUCCCCACUGAAGUGGGGUUGCUGAAGUAGGGGCUGAAGUUGACAUCUGACGACAUGAAGGAGCAGAUUUAAAAACUGGCCAAGAAGGGCCUGACUCCUUCACAAAUCGGUGGGAUCCUGAGAGAUUCACAUGAUGCUGCACAAGUACGAUUUGUGACAGGCAAUAAAAUCUUAAGAAUUCUUAAGUCUAAGGGACCGCUCCUAAUCUCCCUGAAGAUCUCUACCAUUUAAUUAAGGCAGCAGUUGCUGUUCAAAAGCUUCUUGAGAGGAAGAGAAAGGAUGAGGAUGCUAAAUUCUGUCUGAUUCUGAUAGAGAGCCGGAUUCACUGUUUGGCUCGAUAUUAUAAGACCAAGUGAGUCCUCUCUCCCAACUGGAAAUAUGAAUCAUAUACAGCCUCUGCCCUGGUU